rnacentral:rRNA from 1 species
AACGAACGCUGGCGGCAGGCCUAACACAUGCAAGUCGAACGCCCGUAGCAAUACGGGAGUGGCAGACGGGUGAGUAACGCGUGGGAACGUGCCCUUCGGUUCGGAAUAACUCAGGGAAACUUGAGCUAAUACCGGAUACCUCCGUAAGGAGAAAGAUUUAUCGCCGAAGGAUCGGCCCGCGUCGGAUUAGCUAGUUGGUGAGGUGACGGCCCACCAAGGCGACGAUCCGUAGCUGGUCUGAGAGGACGACCAGCCACACCGGAACUGAGACACGGUCCGGACUCCUACGGGAGGCAGCAGUGGGGAAUAUUGGACAAUGGGGGAAACCCGUACGAUCCAGCGACGCCGCGUGUGUGAAGAAGGCCUGCGGGUUGUAAAGCACUUUUAGUUGGGGACGAAAAA